rnacentral:tRNA from 1 species
GCGGAUAUGGUGGAAUUGGUAGACACGCAGGAUUAAGGAUCCUGUGGGGGUUGCUUCGUGCCGGUUCAAGUCCGGCUAUCCGCA